UGGGGAAUAUUGGACAAUGGGCGCAAGCCUGAUCCAGCCAUCCCGCGUGGGUGAUGAAGGCCCUAGGGUUGUAAAGCCCUUUCAGCGGGGAAGAUAAUGACGGUACCCGCAGAAGAAGCCCCGGCUAACUUCGUGCCAGCAGCCGCGGUAAUACGAAGGGGGCUAGCGUUGCUCGGAAUUACUGGGCGUAAAGCGCACGUAGGCGGCUUUCUAAGUCGGGGGUGAAAUCCUGGAGCUCAACUCCAGAACUGCCUUCGAUACUGGAAAGCUCGAGUCCGGGAGAGGUGAGUGGAACUGCGAGUGUAGAGGUGAAAUUCGUAGAUAUUCGCAAGAACACCAGUGGCGAAGGCGGCUCACUGGCCCGGUACUGACGCUGAGGUGCGAAAGCGUGGGGAGCAAACAGG
rnacentral:rRNA from 1 species